rnacentral:rRNA from 1 species
GACGAACGCUGGCGGCGUGCUUAACACAUGCAAGUCGAGCGGUAAGGCCUCUUCGGGGGUACACGAGCGGCGAACGGGUGAGUAACACGUGGGUGACCUGCCCUCAGCUCUGGGAUAAGCCUGGGAAACUGGGUCUAAUACCGGCUAUGACCUUUCCUCGCAUGGGGUUUGGUGGAAAGUUUUUUCGGCUGGGGAUGGGCCCGCGGCCUAUCAGCUUAUUGGUGGGGUGAUGGCCUACCAAGGCGACGACGGGUAGCCGGCCUGAGAGGGCGACCGGCCACACUGGGACUGAGACACGGCCCAGACUCCUACGGGAGGCAGCAGUGGGGAAUAUUGCGCAAUGGGCGGAAGCCGGACGCAGCGACGCCGCGUGGGGGAUGACGGCCUUCGGGUUGUAAACCUCUUUCGACCCCGACGAAUUUGGACGGUAGGGGUAGAAGAAGCACCGGCCAACUACGUG